GUUAUGUAGCUGAAGAAAUUGCCUGACGUCUCGACGAGAUCGGUCGUGACGAUGCUUGUUCGACCAGUCUUCAUGUCCUUGGCGAAGCAUCCUUACGGACCUUUGGAGCAAAUGAGUCAUAUUAUUUAAAUCAAGUAUGGGGGAUCUGACGUCGUCCGCGAGCAGGUCUUUUGCGGUUGAUCUCGUUUACUUUCACCUUAGCACACCCAAAGGUUAGACCAGUUUGAAACCCACAGCCACCGCAUCAACAAUCAAACUACUCCAAGAUGAAGCUCUGGUUCGUAAUCCUGCUCGGAGCCACUUUGCUCUUCGCUCACGUUUUGACAGCGGUGACUACGUCAUCUACGGCAAAACCAGGAUCGCAAUUUAUCUCCUCCUUCGACGAGAUAGUCGUCGAAUCGAGUCUGAGAGUGAAAGGGAAGGACAACCAAGGGAGGCAAGGAAGGACGAAACUUGUCACCGUUACUCCCAAUCAGCCCUCCAAUUCUACUUCAACGACAACAUCUACAACCACAAAACCAAGCAAAUAAAUAAAGAUGGUUAUAAAUUUA